rnacentral:rRNA from 1 species
GCCUACGGGAGGCAGCAGUGAGGAAUAUUGGUCAAUGGGCGAGAGCCUGAACCAGCCAAGUCGCGUGAGGGAAGACGGUCCUAUGGAUUGUAAACCUCCUUUGCCGGGGAGCAAAAAGCGGUACGUGUACCGCAUCGAGAGUACCCGGAGAAAAAGCAUCGGCUAACUCCGUGCCAGCAGCCGCGGUAAUACGGAGGAUGCGAGCGUUAUCCGGAUUUAUUGGGUUUAAAGGGAGCGUAGGCCGGCUUUUAAGUCAGCUGUGAAAGUCCGCGGCUCAACCGUGGAAUUGCAGUUGGAACUGGAGG